rnacentral:lncRNA from 1 species
UGUCUAACGGUCAGCUUUACACUCACCGAAGGGAGGCUAUCAAACUCAUUUUUUCCAGUAACUACGGCAGGCUCAGGACCUAGGGAUUAAGGACUCUUCCAAGGCCAAAAAUGUGUUUGGGAGCUGAAAAGUUAAGGGAUGGAUCCUCCAAAAGUAAAAGAGCCUGUGUGGGACAAAAACCUAAAAAUGACCCUGAAGGCAGUUCUACUGUCUCAAAAAACGAAGACUUUCAGGUCAUUCUUCAACAUUCACUGAAGACAUCAGCAUCAGCACCACUUCAGUAAGCCCUGCUGGAACCCCGAGGGGCUCCAACAUCCAUGUGUAACAACGGUAGAGGAAAAUGAUGGACAGCACAGCUUCUGAACCGGACACACUUCAGGUCAAAUCUCAGAUGUGCAAGUUAUUAACAGAAUGACUGAAUUAAUCAUUGAAGUUUGUUUUUUUCUUUGUAGAAGGAGAAUAUUCAUUUCUUUUUAGUGAGCAUUCUCCUUUUCUUUAUUUUGUUUUAUAUUAACUAGAUUUUGUAAGUUUUUAUUUUAUGUUUUAAUUUUACAACUGGUUUUUGAUACAUUAUCAUAAUAAUUAACUAGCCUUUGUGGUUUCAUAAUACAGUAUGUAGUAAAUGCUCAGUGCGGUGCUUGUUAUUUGAAUGGCCUCUUCUACCCCUAAGCCACACAGCUCCUGUCCUCCAGGUCUUGAAUGGCAUUCACUUCUUCCUUCCCACUGCAACAUUCUGCCCCUACAGAGAUGCUCUGGGUCACACCCUCUCCAGCUCUCUUUUCUGUGGAGUUGCUUCUCUUCUAACAGCAACAGACAUGUUGCAGCUGCAUCUCCUAUAGUCACCAUUAUCAUAGGAAAAGCCUAAACAUUUAUUUUAUAACCAUAUGUAUGCUUAUCUUUUCUCCUCCUGUCUCACAAGGAAACAGGUUUAUUCUUCUUCAAGGCUAGAACAAUAUUCUAGAUCCUUCCCCUCUUGUCUCUGCCCAGACUUGCACUAUUCCAUAUUACUAUGUUUAACUUCUGCUUUCUAGAAACUUCUGCCCCUACCUGUUAAAUAUAUUAUGGUCUUCCUUGUCUUAAAAAACAGCAAAUAAUAACAGACACAAACUUUCCCAUUACUCUGCCUUGCCCUCUAGAAGCCACUCCACUUUAGUAGCAGUCUGAAUUAAUUGGAGAUCUGUCUCUAUUAUGUACCCGCCACUAUAGUUGACACAUCACUUUUGUUUUCUCAUUUAAUUUAUAGCUGAGCUUAUUGCUGUACUAUUUCUUCAUUUCCAGUCAUUUCUGAACCCUCAUGUAGCUUCUUUUCCCCUUUUUCUUUUCAUGCUACUCACAUUAAGUUUUCCAAUGACUUUUAUCUGUAAGUCCAACAGGCAUUGUUUUACUUUCGUGGAACAUUUUCAGUUGUCACUUGUUUUUAAUUCCUGAUGCAUCUCUGGCAGGUUGCAAUGGGUACUUUAAAAAAUAAUGCAUUUUUAAUAAUGCAUAAUAGAUUAUGAUAUAUUAGAGAACUUCAAAUAAAACUCACUAAAAGGAAUACUGUUUAGGUUGAAUGAUUGAAAAGUUAGUGAUUUCAUAGCACUGCACUUGAACCAUUCCUCAGACUGUCUUCCUCUGGCUUUGGAUCCUUUUUUUGUUUAUUUUUGCUGAGGAAGAUUCACCCUGAGGUAACAUCUGUUGCCAAUUGUCUGCUUUUUUUGUAUGUGAGCCACCACCACAGCCUGGCCACUGACAGGUGAGUGGUGUGGGUCCAUGCCUGGAAACUGAAAUCGGGCCCCCAAAGCAGAGUGUGCCAAACUUAACCACUAGGCCACUGGGGCUGGCGCCUGGCCUUGGAUUCUUUAACAAAACUUUCCAUCUAUGAACAACACUAAGAUUUUCAUGUGUCCCAUCACCUUCACCACUUUCCCUGCUAACAUUUGCACUUCCUCUUCCAGCGGCUGUUUCCAAACUUGAAUUUCAUGGUGCCAAUCUCUCUGGAGAUGCUCUCCUCAUGCAUUCCUGACCUGUUCAUGAGCAGUUCUUCCUCCUGCCUCUCCUUAAGUGUUGGUUUUUCUCAGGUUCUUGCUCUUACUCUUUGUGCUUUGCUUGUGUUCGCUUAUCUACAUUCAAGGCUUCAAUUACAUCUUGAUGACUUCAAAACAAUAUCUCUGGCUCUCUCUUCUCUCAUGAACUCCAGAUUCACAUUUCACUGUCUACUGGAUAUCUCCAGGAGAAUCUCAAACUCAAAACACCCAGAUUGGACUCCUUGUAAAUCUAUUUCUCUUCUUGAUUUUUUCAUCUGAGUUAAUAAUGUCACAAUCUAUCCAACUUAGAGCACUGGAAGUUGUUCCUAAGUCUCCCUUCUCCCUCAUGUCUGGUUCUGAGAUGUCAUUAAUUCUUUUAAUUCUAUCACCUAACUAUAUCCUGAAACUUUGUAGUCCUGUUGCACUGCCAUCCUCGCUCAGGUCCCUAUUUCUUACUUGUGCUAUUGAAUUUAACUCUUAACUGUUCUUGUCCACCUCCAAUAUAAACUCCACCCCAAAACCCAAAUGAGCACUCCACAAUAGAAAUUUCACAUCACUUCCCUGAUUGAAAUCUUCAGCAACUCUUAGGGACCCUGCAUCACUUAAGAUACUGACUGAAUUCAUCAUCCUCCACUCUUGACUUUCUGGCCUCCUGUUUUCGCUGUCCCCAGCCCAUUGUCAGCCAGUAAGCACUGCCUAGAACUGUCUAGAACAAUGAUUGAUAUAUAGUAGGUGCUUACUAUGGGCUGAAUUGUGUCUCCUCAAAUUUAUAAGUUGACAUUCUAACCCCUAGUACCUCAGAAUAUGACUGUAUUUGGAGAUAGAGCCUUUAAAGAGGUAAUUAAAUUAAAAUGAGGUCAUUGGGGUGGGCCCUAAUCUAAUAUGACUGGUGUCUUUAUAAGAAGAAGAGAUUAGGACACAGACACACACAUAGGAAAGACCACGUGAAGACAUGGGAAGAAGAUGGUGAUCUGCAAGCCAAGGAAUGAAGGUUUAGAAGAAACCAAGCCUCCUGACACCUUGAUCUUGAAUUUAUAGUCCCCAGGACUGUGAGAAAGUAAAUUUACCUUGUUUAAGCCACUCAGUUUCUAAUACUUUGUUAUGGAAGCCCAGCAACCUAAUACAGUACUCAAUGAAAUAUUUCUUGAAGAAAUGAACAAUUUUAUCACAAAAAGAUAUUGUUGACUAUUUGGUGAUUGACUAUCCCUGAAAUCCUGCAGCUUGUUUUAAGGAAAUGAGAGUGGAGCAGGCUGGAGAAGACAGACCUUCUAACUACAAUAUUCCGGUAUCAAAAGAUUGCCCAUCUUUGGGCCCUCAUUUUGGAUUUGUGUUAGAUGUUAACUGCACUCUCCUAUUAAGAAAACCUAAAGCAUUAGCAGUAAAGUUUCACCUUCAGUAAGUUCUUUGCAUCUUAGACUGAAGAAAUAUUUAUCAUCUGUAUGUGAAUCUUCAUCUCCCCUCCAUCGCUGCUGAUAGAUUGGGGUGUGGCCUGGGGAUGUUUGUAGGACCCCAGAGGAGGAAAACAGUAUUGUUAACCCUACAGAAUCUACACUCAUUGGAGGUUAGUGGAGUAGCAAGUAUAAGACCUUAUGUAGGUUUAAAAACUCCCUAAGCUUUGAAAAAGAACAAAGCAGACCCUGACAUCCAAAAGCUGGCUGGGCUCUCACAGCUAGGUCAUCUGUUGAACAUAAACAAUUUCACAGAACAAUAACACAAACAGGGCCACUCUUGGGACCACGACAGAUCAAGACAAGAACACAACCACUCCAUUAGCUUGUCCGAACACAAACAUGAACAUUGUCCAAGUCACACACAUGACCCCAAGAUCUCUUCUCCUGGCUCAUACGAGUGACUGUUGCUUCUCUACAAGUGUACAGCCUUUACCUCUGUUCAUGUUUCCUGCCCUAUAGUAAAAUGUAUUAAGAUACCCAAACAUAGAUUCACCUCUGCCUCCACAAGGCCCUGUGUCCUUAAACAUUCUCCAAAGUUACCUAACACAAGCCCAAAUCCUUUCGUAAGUCAUUUCUAACUCCCUGUUACUGAGGUGCCCCGUGGUUUCCCAUGGCAUGUGGUCUCCUUUGUUGCAGCAAGCAAUAAACCAAACACGUUUAACUACGGCUAUGCUCCUGGUGGUCUUUGGCUGGAGGACACUGACGUUAUAUAUGUUUACAGACAGUUAUAUACACAAGUGUAGGUGUGUGCAUGCACAACGAAAAGCCAGGGAAUAUAAAUAUUAAAAUGUUAAUAAUAUUUGUCUCUGGGUGACAGAUUAUGGGUUAAUUUGACAUUCUUAUUUUUUGCUUAUCUAUAGUCUCUGGGUUUUCUACAAUAAAGAUUGUUGCUAUGUGUAAUAAGAGAAAAAUCUAUUUAAAAUGGAGAAGUGAACUUGUGAGAAAUUUCUUAUUCUUUAGAAAUAUUUCUUCAAUGUGUUGGAAAAAGACAGAACAUUCAUGUUCAGACAUUAUAGCUUUACAAAUGAAAUUAUUAGAUAAAUCUUAUUUUGUUUAAAUCAUAAUCCAAACCACAAUUAAUAGACACUUUUAUAAUAGAAUGUAACUAGAUUUUACUGAUUUCACUAUAGACACUGUGAGAAAAACACAGCAAAAAAUAGGAGGCGAUGGCUCACAGUAAUUAACAUUCUUUAAUUCAACUCGUUCUCUGACAAUUCCUUCCCCUGCUGUGUCCUUUUGAAAGCCUUUUUCAAGUUGAUUAAUUCAUCAGAUUUCAACAGUCAACAUCUUUAUUCUGCAAGUAGUACCUGAGAAAUACACAUAAAUUAAUGUCAUGUCUCCAAUUUUUUCC